CCCUUAGAUGUCCUGGGCCGCACGCGCGCUACACUGAUGCAUGCAACGAGUUUAUAACCUUGGCCUGAAAGGUCUGGGUAAUCUUUUGAACGUGCAUCGUGAUAGGGAUAGAUUAUUGCAAUUGUUAAUCUUGAACGAGGAAUUCCUAGUAAACGCGAGUCAUCAGCUCGCAUUGAUUACGUCCCUGCCCUUUGUACACACCGCCCGUCGCACCUACCGAUUGAAUGGUUCGGUGAAGAUCUCGGACUUCGAUAUUUAUUCUUUAUUGAGUUUAUAUUGUGGGAAGUUAUCUAAACCUCAUCAUUUAGAGGAAGGUGAAGUCGUAAC
rnacentral:rRNA from 1 species